GAUGAACGCUGGCGGCGUGCCUAAUACAUGCAAGUCGAGCGAACAGACGAGGAGCUUGCUCCUCUGACGUUAGCGGCGGACGGGUGAGUAACACGUGGAUAACCUACCUAUAAGACUGGGAUAACUUCGGGAAACCGGAGCUAAUACCGGAUAAUAUAUUGAACCGCAUGGUUCAAUAGUUAAAGACGGUUUUGCUGUCACUUAUAGAUGGAUCCGCGCCGCAUUAGCUAGUUGGUAAGGUAACGGCUUACCAAGGCGACGAUGCGUAGCCGACCUGAGAGGGUGAUCGGCCACCCUGGAACUGAGACACGGUCCAGACUCCUACGGGAGGCAGCAGUAGGGAAUCUUCCGCAAUGGGCGAAUGCCUGACGGAGCAACGCCGCGUGAGUGAUGAAGGUCUUCGGAUCGUAAAACUCUGUUAUUAGGGAAGAACAAAUGUGUAAGUAACUAUGCACGUCUUGACGGUACCUAAUCAGAAAGCCACGGCUAACUACGUG
rnacentral:rRNA from 1 species